GGAGGGGGGCUAGCGUUGUUCGGAAUUAUUGGGCGUAAAGGGCGCGUAGGCGGCCCGGCAAGUCAGUCGUGAAAGCCCUCGGGCUCAACCGAGGAAUUGCGAUUGAAACUGCCGGGCUUGAGUCCCUGGAGAGGGUAGCGGAAUUCCCAGUGUAGCGGUGAAAUGCGUAGAUAUUGGGAGGAACACCUGUGGCGAAGGCGGCUACCUGGACAGGUACUGACGCUGAGGCGCGAAAGCGUGGGGAGCAAACAGGAUUAGAUACCCUGGUAGUCCACGCUGUAAACGAUGGGCACUUAGUGUUGCGGGUACCGACCCCUGCAGUGCCGAAGCUAACGCAUUAAGUGCCCCGCCUGGGGAGUACGGUCGCAAAGGCUG
rnacentral:rRNA from 1 species